GGGUUUGACAUACACCGGUAACCUGCAGAGAUGUAGGCCCCCUUGUGGUCGGUGUACAGGUGGUGCAUGGCUGUCGUCAGCUCGUGUCGUGAGAUGUUGGGUUAAUCCCGGNAACGAGCGCAACCCUUAUCUUAUGUUGCCAGCGCGUUAUGGCGGGGACUCGUGAGAGACUGCCGGGGUCAACUCGGAGGAAGGUGGGGACGACGUCAAGUCAUCAUGCCCCUUAUGUCCAGGGCUUCACACAUGCUACAAUGGCUGGUACAGAGGGCUGCGAUACCGUGAGGUGGAGCGAAUCCCUUAAAGCCGGUCUCAGUUCGGAUCGGGGUCUGCAACUCGACCCCGUGAAGUUGGAGUCGCUAGUAAUCGCAGAUCAGCAACGCUGCGGUGAAUACGUUCCCGGGCCUUGUACACACCGCCCGUCACGUCAUGAAAGUCGGUAACACCCGAAGCCGGUGGCCCAACCCUUGUGGAGGGAGCCGUCGAAGGUGGGAUCGGCGAUUGGGACGAAGUCGUAACAAGGUAAGCGUAGUGCU
rnacentral:rRNA from 1 species